UACAGAGGGUGUGAGCGUUAAUCGGAAUUACUGGGCGUAAAGCGUGCGUAGACGGUUAUGUAAGUCGGAUGUGAAAUCCCCGGGCUCAACCCGGGAACUGCGUCCGAGACUGGCAGGCUCGAAUCCGGGAGAGGGAUGUGGAAUUCCAGGUGUAGCGGUGAAAUGCGUAGAUAUCUGGAGGAACACCGGUGGCGAAGGCGGCAUCCUGGACCGGUAUUGACGCUGAGGCGCGAAAGCCAGGGGAGCAAAGCGGG
rnacentral:rRNA from 1 species